UACAGAGGUCUCAAGCGUUUGUUCGGAUUCAUUGGGCGUAAAGGGUGCGUAGGCGGCGCGGUAAGUCGGGUGUGAAAUCUUGGAGCUUAACUCCGAAACUGCAUUCGAUACUGCCGUGCUUGAGGACUGGAGAGGAGACUGGAAUUUACGGUGUAGCGGUGAAAUGCGUAGAUAUCGUAAGGAAGACCAGUGGCGAAGGCGG
rnacentral:rRNA from 1 species